CUACGGAGGGUGCAAGCGUUAUUCGGAAUCACUGGGCGUAAAGGACACGUAGGCGGGUUGGCAAGUCAGAUGUGAAAUCCUACAGCUUAACUGUAGAACUGCAUUUGAAACUGCUAACCUAGAGUAUGGGAGGGGGAGAUGGAAUUAGUGGUGUAGGGGUAAAAUCCGUAGAUAUCACUAGGAAUACCGAAAGCGAAGGCGAUCUCCUGGAACAUAACUGACGCUAAGGCGUGAAAGCGUGGGGAGCAAACAGAAUUAGAUACCCUAGUAGUCC
rnacentral:rRNA from 1 species